rnacentral:rRNA from 1 species
GAGUUUGAUCCUGGCUCAGGAUGAACGCUGGCGGCGUGCCUAACACAUGCAAGUCGAACGAGAUGCGUAUCGGAAAGCUUCGGCCGGAAGAUACGUUAUCUAGUGGCGGGCGGGUGAGUAACACGUGGGUAACCUGCCUUAUGGAGGGGGAUAACAGAGAGAAAUCACUGCUAAUACCGCAUAAGCACACAGUACCGCAUGGUACAGGGUGAAAAGAUUUAUCGCCAUAAGAUGGGCUCGCGUCCGAUUAGAUAGUUGGCGGGGUAACGGCCCACCAAGUCGACGAUCGGUAGCCGGACUGAGAGGUUGAUCGGCCACAUUGGGACUGAGACACGGCCCAGACUCCUACGGGAGGCAGCAGUGGGGAAUAUUGCACAAUGGGGGAAACCCUGAUGCAGCGACGCCGCGUGAGGGAAGAAGGUUUUCGGAUUGUAAACCUCUGUCCUUGGUGACGAUAAUGACGGUAGCCAAGGAGGAAGCCACGGCUAACUACGUGCCAGCCGCCGCGGUAAUAC